CAGUAUGUCGGUGAUGGAGCUCACCGGAACCGCCCACGACGGGCUGAUGGCUCCUGCGAUGCA
rnacentral:ncRNA from 2 species